CUCUCUUUCCAUUACCCUGCUCUCCCUCUCUCUCGCUCGCUCUUUUGGCCGCUUCUGAAGCUCUCUUCCGAUGUUGGGCACUGCUGCUAGAUAUGCAACCGUGUGCAGUGGUUUCUUCACCAGUCAUUUUUGAUUUUCUGGGAUGAUGUGGGUCGUUGUUGUGGUUGGUAGUUAUUUGUGGGUUAUUGUUUGUGGUUAUGGUGAUUUUUUUAUGGUCGAUGAUUUUUUGUGAUCAGAUCUUUUUAGUAAUUGUAGUGGUUUUUUGGUGAUCAAUUUUCACCUCUUCCUUCUCUCUAUCUUCUUGGUUGUGCCUAACCAAGUGCAGUAUGCUUGUGUUGAUACUUUUGUUUCUUUUGGAUUGGUAUGGUCUUGGAUGCUGC
rnacentral:lncRNA from 1 species